rnacentral:rRNA from 1 species
CAGUCGAGCGGAUGUAAGGGAGCAUUGCUCCUGGAUUCAGCGGCGGACGGGUGAGUAAUGCCUAGGAAUCUGCCUGGUAGUGGGGGAUAACGUCCGGAAACGGGCGCUAAUACCGCAUACGUCCUGAGGGAGAAAGUGGGGGAUCUUCGGACCUCACGCUAUCAGAUGAGCCUAGGUCGGAUUAGCUAGUUGGUGGGGUAAAGGCCUACCAAGGCGACGAUCCGUAACUGGUCUGAGAGGAUGAUCAGUCACACUGGAACUGAGACACGGUCCAGACUCCUACGGGAGGCAGCAGUGGGGAAUAUUGGACAAUGGGCGAAAGCCUGAUCCAGCCAUGCCGCGUGUGUGAAGAAGGUCUUCGGAUUGUAAAGCACUUUAAGUUGGGAGGAAGGGCAGUAAGUUAAUACCUUGCUGUUUUGACGUUACCAACAGAAUAAGCACCGGCUAACUUCGUGCCAGCAGCCGCGGUAAUACGAAGGGUGCAAGCGUUAAUCGGAAUUACUGGGCGUAAAGCGCGCGUAGGUGGUUCAGCAAGUUGGAUGUGAAAUCCCCGGGCUCAACCUGGGAACUGCAUCCAAAACUACUGAGCUAGAGUACGGUAGAGGGUGGUGGAAUUUCCUGUGUAGCGGUGAAAUGCGUACAUAUACGAAGGAACACCAGUGGCGAAGGCGACCACCUGGACUGAUACUGACACUGAGGUGCGACAGCGUGUGGAGCACACACGAUUAGAUACCCUGGUAGUCCACGCCGUACACGAUGUCGACUAGACUUUGGCGAUCCUUGAGAUCUUAGUGGCGCAGCUUACGCGAUAAUUCGACAGCCUGGUGAGUACGGCCGCCCCGGUUGAAACUCCCAUGAAUUGACUGGCGGCUCGCUCAAACAGCUGAAGCAUGCGGUUUAACUCCGAAGCAACGCAUAAAAACUUUACCUGCUCUUGAUAAUGCUGAGAACUUUCCAGAAAAUGAAUCGGUGGCUUUCUCUAAUUGAUAACAA